UGCGAAUGGCUCAUUAAAUCAGUUAUCGUUUAUUUGAUAGUACCUACCAACUACAUGGAUAACCGUGGUAAUUCUAGAGCUAAUACAUGCUAAAAACCCCAACUUCGGGAGGGGUGUAUUUAUUAGAUAAAAAACCAAUGCCCCUCGGGGCUUCUUGGUGAUUCAUGAUAACUUAACGGAUCGCAUGGCCUUGCGCCGGCGACGGUUCAUUCAAAUUUCUGCCCUAUCAACUUUCGAUGGUAAGGUAUUGGCUUACCAUGGUUUCAACGGGUAACGGGGAAUUAGGGUUCGAUUCCGGAGAGGGAGCCUGAGAAACGGCUACCACAUCCAAGGAAGGCAGCAGGCGCGCAAAUUACCCAAUCCCGACACGGGGAGGUAGUGACAAUAAAUACUGAUACAGGGCUCUUUUGGGUCUUGUAAUCGGAAUGAGUACAAUUUAAACCCCUUAACGAGGAACAAUUGGAGGGCAAGUCUGGUGCCAGCAGCCGCGGUAAUUCCAGCUCCAAUAGCGUAUAUUAAAGUUGUUGCAGUUAAAAAGCUCGUAGUUGAACCUUGGGCCUGGCUGGCCGGUCCGCCUCACCGCGUGUACUGGUCCGGCCGGGCCUUUCCUUCUGGAGAACCGCAUGCCCUUCACUGGGUGUGUCGGGGAACCAGGACUUUUACUUUGAAAAAAUUAGAGUGUUCAAAGCAGGCCUUUGCUCGAAUACGUUAGCAUGGAAUAAUAGAAUAGGACGUGCGGUCCUAUUUUGUUGGUUUCUAGGACCGCCGUAAUGAUUAAUAGGGAUAGUCGGGGGCAUCAGUAUUCAAUUGUCAGAGGUGAAAUUCUUGGAUUUAUUGAAGACUAACUACUGCGAAAGCAUUUGCCAAGGAUGUUUUCAUUAAUCAGUGAACGAAAGUUAGGGGAUCGAA
rnacentral:rRNA from 1 species